CUCAUCUACAGGCUUGAAGUUGGGAUGCAUACUGACACACUUUCUAGUUUGGAGAUGGUCGAGGACAUCUUCAGGGAUUCUACAGAGUUUUAGACGCAAAGCAGUGCAGAAAAUGAGGGAAACAAGAUGAAGUGCAUGGCAAUGGUUUCCCUUUGAAACACCAAUCAUGUGGAGAUUCUGGCGGUGCCCCAUGACUGAAAAAGGCUGCAUAUAAAGCUGCCAGUGCUCUGGAUGAAAGAGAUAAACAGCACAGCCACCAGCACUUCAUUUUACUGUGAUGAGCAUUUGGAGGCAAGGU